rnacentral:rRNA from 1 species
UACGUAGGGUGCAGGCGUUGUCCGGAAUUAUUGGGCGUAAAGAGCUCGUAGGCGGUUUGUCGCGUCGAAUGUGAAAACCCGGGGCUCAACCCCGGGCCUGCAUUCGAUACGGGCAGACUAGAGUUCGGCAGGGGAGUCUGGAAUUCCUGGUGUAGCGGUGAAAUGCGCAGAUAUCAGGAGGAACACCGGUGGCGAAGGCGGGACUCUGGGCCGGUACUGACGCUGAGACGCGAAAGCGUGGGGAGCGAACAGG